rfam:Schistosoma curassoni strain Dakar, Senegal genome assembly, scaffold: SCTD_contig0020718
AUCUAGUUGAUGAGUUUUAAAUAGGACGAAACCUGUGUCUUGGAU